CUGAUUGGCUGUUACGUUACACAUGUAACUCAGUGGCCACGCUGUUGAACGCUGAUUGGCUGUCAUAUGCGUCAUCACGCGGAAUUCGCGUCAUCACGCGAAAUUUGCAUCAAAGUUCAAAUAUUUGAACUCGAGCAAAUUUUUCGCGCAACAGAUUCUCGUGAACACGCUCGCCUGUGCACGGUAAAAGGGUGGCGCGACAAGUUUUGACUUUGACUUGUCGCCGAUUUUCUCUCGCAAAUUCCUUUUUUGGCGAAAAAUUCGCAAAAUCUUUUGCAAAGCGUUUUGCAUAAUCUUUUGCAAAACGUGUUUUGCGGAUUGAAAUGUCAUCUGAAUUUUGCAACACACGGAGCGAGGCGAACGUUUUGCAAAACGUUUUACAAAACGUAACGUAUGUGUCAGCAAUGGAGGAGAUUGUUGAUGCGCUCCGAAGUUUGGCCGAUGAUGUGGAGAACAAUCGUGUUGAAGACACAGAUGCAGUAGAUAGAGUGCGUGUUCUUGGAGAUAGGAUGUAUGACUUAUCCUCACUGGUAUGUUUUGACGCCAGUGUGGUAAACACAAAGAUUUCCCAAGUCCUACAGGCACUGAGUGCGAAACGUAGGGUCGGGAGACCCACCGUGGAGAUACCCUUGGAGUCAAUAGAGGGAUACCUCUCCCUUGGCCUAAAGGGGCAGGAGAUUGCGGACCUGUAUGGUGUCCACAGAACCACCGUACACCGCAAAAUGCAACAAAAUGGACUCAGUAUCGUAGGAGAGAGAUGACGCUUGGCUCACCUGGAUCAGGCUGAGCACCCGGUCGUGCAGAACCAGGUUACACCUGUAACCACAGGUGUCGGAUGACUGUGCUUAUGUGUGUGGCGAGUAGGCCUAUGUGUGUCAGCCAUGUAUUCUGAGAUGAGUGACACGCAGCUGGACGCCCUGGUGCUGGAGAUCCACAGGAUCCAUCUGUGUGGCUACCGGAUGUUGCGAUACCAUCUCCAGGGAAGAGGCCAUCUGGUCCAAAUUCACAGAGUACGCCAAUCCUUAAAAAGAGUGAAACCAGAGGGCACAGAACAAAGAGCCCUGGCCAACCGAACUCCACAUAGGCGGCAAUAUUCAGUUCCUGGGCCCAACUUUGGAGAUUUGUUAUCCACCGUGGGAUGUAUGGCUUCAGCCGCCUAGUGGUGUUCUUGUCAGCAGCCACCAACAACCGUGCCACAACAUUGCUGGAUGCUUUUCUUGGAGCUGUCAGGCAGUAUGGUGUGCCAUCUUGUGUCCGGUCGGAUAAGGGGAGAGAGAACAUUGAGGUGGCAUAUUACAUGUUGGACAACUGCGGAUCCAACCGCAAUUCCCACAUAACUGGGAGGAGUGUGCAUAAUCAAAGAAUUGAGGGACUUUAGAGAGAUGUAUACACACAAGUGCUCGAUCUCUUCCACGAAAUGGAAGCAUCACGGACGUUGAAUCCAGACAGUGAGAUCCACCUCUUCGCUCUCCACUGGGUUUUCCUGACAUUGGUCCAGAGCCAUCUCAGGCAUUUCCAAGAUGCCUGGAAUUUCCACAGCCUGAGGACUGAAAAUAGCUAGUCACGCUACCAGCUGUGGCUACGCAACAUACGUGCUGUUGCUGAUCCCCCAGAUGUAGGUUCAGCUAUAAAGAUUGGCCCAAAACGAGGAUAUUACGAUAAGUUGACGAUCUUUAUAGUGCCAGUGUAGAUGGUCCGGACCUGGAAGACCUGUCUGGAGUCGACGUUCCGGAGAUCCAACUACCACGUGACCUGACUGCUGAGGAGCUCUCACGAUUGCCUCAGCGAAAUGUUUCACUGAAUGAGGCUAUGUUGUUUGCAGCUCAGUUGUUGAGCAGUCACAAGACAUUUUUCAAACAGCAUGAUGUUCUCUCCAAGGAUUUACAAAUUUGUAAAUAUAUAUGAAUCUACCUUCCCCUUUACAUGCAGUGUAUGCUUAAUUCUUCCUCAUCCAAACAUACUGCCGUUCCAUUGACAUGAACUGAACCAACAUAAUAUAAGUGAGUGACAAUACUGUGACAAACUAGCUUCUGCCUAUUGAGCUUUGCUUUUAUUAAAAAAUGACCUUUUUUUCAUUGCA